AUUGAACGCUGGCGGCAUGCCUUACACAUGCAAGUCGAACGGUAACAGGUCUUCGGAUGCUGACGAGUGGCGAACGGGUGAGUAAUACAUCGGAACGUGCCCGAGAGUGGGGGAUAACGAGGCGAAAGCUUUGCUAAUACCGCAUACGAUCCCAGGAUGAAAGCAGGGGACCGCAAGGCCUUGCGCUCACGGAGCGGCCGAGGGCAGAGUAGGUAGUUGGUGGGAUAAAAGCUUACCAAGCCGACGAUCUGUAGCUGGUCUGAGAGGACGACCAGCCACACUGGGACUGAGACACGGCCCAGACUCCUACGGGAGGCAGCAGUGGGGAAUUUUGGACAAUGGGCGCAAGCCUGAUCCAGCCAUGCCGCGUGCAGGAUGAAGGCCUUCGGGUUGUAAACUGCUUUUGUACGGAACGAAAAGACUCUGGUUAAUACCUGGGGUCCAUGACGGUACCGUAAGAAUAAGCACCGGCUAACUACGUGCCAGCAGCCGCCGCAGUAA
rnacentral:rRNA from 1 species